rnacentral:rRNA from 1 species
UCGAGCGGACAGAUGGGAGCUUGCUCCCUGAUGUUAGCGGCGGACGGGUGAGUAACACGUGGGUAACCUGCCUGUAAGACUGGGAUAACUCCGGGAAACCGGGGCUAAUACCGGAUGGUUGUUUGAACCGCAUGGUUCAGACAUAAAAGGUGGCUUCGGCUACCACUUACAGAUGGACCCGCGGCGCAUUAGCUAGUUGGUGAGGUAACGGCUCACCAAGGCGACGAUGCGUAGCCGACCUGAGAGGGUGAUCGGCCACACUGGGACUGAGACACGGCCCAGACUCCUACGGGAGGCAGCAGUAGGGAAUCUUCCGCAAUGGACGAAAGUCUGACGGAGCAACGCCGCGUGAGUGAUGAAGGUUUUCGGAUCGUAAAGCUCUGUUGUUAGGGAAGAACAAGUGCCGUUCAAAUAGGGCGGCACCUUGACGGUACCUAACCAGAAAGCCACGGCUAACUACGUGCCAGCAGCCGCGGUAAUACGUAGGUGGCAAGCGUUGUCCGGAAUUAUUGGGCGUAAAGGGCUCGCAGGCGGUUUCUUAAGUCUGAUGUGAAAGCCCCCGGCUCAACCGGGGAGGGUCAUUGGAAACUGGGGAACUUGAGUGCAGAAGAGGAGAGUGGAAUUCCACGUGUAGCGGUGAAAUGCGUAGAGAUGUGGAGGAACACCAGUGGCGAAGGCGACUCUCUGGUCUGUAACUGACGCUGAGGAGCGAAAGCGUGGGGAGCGAACAGGAUUAGAUACCCUGGUAGUCCACGCCGUAUACGAUGAGUGCUAAGUGUUAGGG